rnacentral:rRNA from 1 species
UACGAAGGGGGCUAGCGUUGCUCGGAAUGACUGGGCGUAAAGGGCGCGUAGGCGGAUGGCACAGUCAGAUGUGAAAGCCCCGGGCUCAACCUGGGAAUGGCAAUGGAUACUGGCAAGCUAGAGUGCGGUAGAGGGUAGUGGAAUUCCCGGUGUAGCGGUGAAAUGCGUAGAGAUCGGGAGGAACACCAGUGGCGAAGGCGGCUACCUGGACCAGCACUGACACUGAGGCACGAAAGCGUGGGGAGCAAACAGG